rnacentral:rRNA from 1 species
AAAGUGUGGGGAGCAAACAGGAUUAGAUACCCUGGUAGUCCACACUGUAAACGAUGAAUGCUAGGUGUAGGGGGUAUCGACCCCUUCUGUGCCGGAGUAAACACAAUAAGCAUUCCGCCUGGGGAGUACGGUCGCAAGAUUAAAACUCAAAGGAAUUGACGGGGGCCCGCACAAGCAGCGGAGCAUGUGGUUUAAUUCGAAGCAACGCGAAGAACCUUACCAGGUCUUGACAUCCAGGUAAAGCUUAAGAGAUUAGGUGUGCCUUCGGGCAAUCUGAGACAGGUGGUGCAUGGUUGUCGUCAGCUCGUGUCGUGAGAUGUUGGGUUAAGUCCCGCAACGAGCGCAACCCUUGCUGAUAGUUACUAACGCGUAGAGGCGAGGACUCUAUCGGGACCGCCGGGGACAACUCGGAGGAAGGUGGGGACGACGUCAAAUCAUCAUGCCCCUUAUGACCUGGGCUACACACGUGCUACAAUGGCCGAGACAGAGAGGAGCGAAGGCGCGAGCCGGAGCGGAUCUCAAAAAGGCGGCCACAGUUCGGAUUGUGGGCUGCAACCCGCCCACAUGAAGCCGGAGUUGCUAGUAAUCGCGAAUCAGCAUGUCGCGGUGAAUACGUUCCCGGGCCUUGUACACACCGCCCGUCACACCAUGGGAGUUGGGAGCACCCGAAGGCAGAGAGGUAACCGUGAGGAGCCAUCUGACGAAGGUGAGAUCAAUGACUGGGGUGAAGUCGUAACAAGGUAACCGUAAAGGG